AUGUAUAUACAUAUGUAUGUAUUCGUGGGCAGCUCCGUCACUCACGUUCACACUCUAUUUAUGUCGCGGGUGGGAAAAUUUAAAUGCUUACGAAAAAAAAAGGAUUUUCUGUAAAUAAUAGAUCUAAAGUUUGAUAGUUAUUCGUUAGAUGUAUAGAUGUAUAGUGAGAGGUGGACCUCUGUACUGAGGCUAGCUAUCAAUCUAGAAUAAAAAUAAAGCUGGUCGUGUUUUUGGACGAUUGCAUAUAGACUUUAGGAUCCUUCUAGAUGCAUUCUAGUUACGACGCGCUGACAAAUAACAUUGAUAUUAUUUCAAUCUGCGAUUAGAGAAGGCCGAGUGUGUUUCUGGGAGUUCUAUCGCAUGAUCAGUCAUACGUGGUUACUAUUGGCCAGGAACAGCUGAAGCGCUUCUCGUGUACAGGGUUUAGCUAUUACAUUAAUAAAGUCCAUUGUAUUGUAUGUGUUUGAGAGAGAAACAGAUAGUUAGAAAUAAAAGAAUUUUUGUUUUUGGAAAAAUAUGCAGAUUUUUUUUGGUUUCGAAGAAGAACUUAGUUUUCUAAAGAUGUGAAUGCGUUAUCAACUAUCAAGAGACGUGCAACAGGUUUUAAAGUUGAAUUUCUCAUCGUAUUUAUCAGCUAGAGUACGAGGAGAGUACCUUUAUAAUGCCUCCCAGUCGUCUGGACGCCGUUUACAGAAGUAUUUUGCUCACAAAAUUUUUUACCAAAGGUUGGGGCAAACCUGAGAAUUUGAAAAGGAUAUUCGAAUUUAGGAAGGUUGUUGCGAACAGAGAAGCUUGUUAUAAUCUUAUACCUCGUGAUUAUCCAAUAACUAUCACCAAGGAUGAAGAAUGGUCAGAUUGUCAUAUUUUGGAAGGUUUUUUUUUAUCUCCUUUUGAACAUCAUGUACCCAAUUUAAUGCCAGAAGAAACAAGAAAUGCCUAUUUUCAAGUGAUAUUACCAAGUAAAUGGACUUCACAUAAAACUAAACCCAUGUGCCUACAUCUUGCAGGUACUGGGGAUCAUUUCUUUUGGCGGCGAAGAAAUCUUAUUGCAAAACCACUGCUAAAAGAAUCAGGUAUCGGUUCAAUUUUACUGGAGAAUCCAUUUUAUGGACUAAGAAAGCCCAAAGAUCAAAUACGAUCCAGCUUACACAACGUAUCAGACAUCUUCAUUAUGGGUGGAUGUCUGAUAAUGGAGUCCAUCGUUUUACUCAACUGGUGUGAACAGCAGGGAUUUGGACCACUGGGUUUAACCGGAUUAUCUAUGGGAGGGCAUAUGGCUUCUCUCGCUGCAACUAAUUGGCCUAAACCCAUUCCAUUAGUUCCAUGUCUGUCAUGGUCUACAGCUUCACCCGUAUUCACUCAAGGAGUUAUGAGUGCCUCGAUAAACUGGGAACUGUUAGAGUCCCAAUAUUUUUCAAACAAAGAGUACCAAAACGAUCUGGCCAAGAUGGUAAAGAUCAUCGAUCAAGACGAUGCCUUCCUGGCAGGUCAGCACUUUGCUAAACACUAUCCAGAAAGCAUGUUCAGAGUGAACCAGUUAAAGAGGGAAGUAAAGGUGCUUGACGGGGAUGCAAAAGGCGAUUCUAAUAGCCAAAACAAUAAUGCAGACCGUACGACCAACAAUAAUCAAAGUAAUUCCAAUGAAAAUAAUAAAGACAAUAAUACAAUGGACUCAAACUCUAUAAAAAAUGCUACCAAUCUUCGAAUUGCCGAAGAAACGGCAGCAGCCAAACUCUUCCCCUUAAACCUCAUAUCAAAUAAAUUUAAAGUUGGAGAAUCGAAUGUUCUCAAGGGUAAGCCUAUAAAUCUUGCACGUCACCUUGCAAUUCUCCCAAUUCAGAAGUCCAUUAAUCCUAACUAUCCCCCAUAUGAUAGUCAUCUAGUCAUUCAACAUGAAACUUCGAAGGCAAUAAAUGGCGAGAACGGGAGGCUCUGCAAUUUAUGAGAGGAAUGAUGGACGAAUGUACUCAUCUAAGUAAUUUCGAAGUUCCUGUCGAUACAGAACUAAUCAUAGCCGUAUGUGCCAGAGAUGACGCUUACGUACCACGUGAGGGAUGUAUGAGUCUCCAGGACAUUUGGCCUGGUGCUGAGAUUCGCUUUAUAGAUGCCGGACACGUAACGGCUUAUUUACUUCAUCAGAAACUCUUCAGAUCGACCAUCAUAGAGGCGUUCGAACGGACUAUGAAAAAGUAUCCUAUCGACAACAGUUGACGAAACCCCCAUUAUUGUAGCUAUUGAGUGAUUGUUACACUUGUAAAUAGAACUAUUAGACAAAACAAUAUUGAUUUAUGUAGACAGGUUUAUUUUGUCCUGUAUAUAUUAGGAAGGUAUAAUGUUCGCUCAAGAACAUUCUGUUCCUGUCGACAAGCGUCGAAGUACUGCCACAUUGUGCAAUUCAUAUUUGAAUUGGAUUUAUCGUUUUUCGGUGAUCCGAAUCGAGAAUAUAUUACACAUAACAAUGACGAUUGUACUUUGACGAAUCAAAACUUUAUAUUUGAAUAAGUGCACCGUUAGUGCUAUCACUGUGAAUUUGAUCGCCCUAUACAAUCAAUUGAUAUUUAUUCACAAUUGUUCGCCAUAUUUACACCAAGUUUUACACUAUUCUAGCCAAAAAUGUAUUUGUUAUAAUGAGAGAUUGUCGUUUUAUAUAUAUAUACAAAAGAAUUGUUGUAUGCUGAUCACGCAAUAAAUAUUGUGUUUUAUAACAGA